rnacentral:rRNA from 1 species
UACGUGGGGGGCAAGCGUUGUUCGGAAUUACUGGGCGUAAAGGGCUCGUAGGCGGCCAACUAAGUCGGACGUGAAAUCCCCAGGCUCAACCUGGGAACUGCGUCCGAUACUGGAUGGCUUGAAUUCGGGAGAGGGAUGCAGAAUUCCAGGUGUAGCGGUGAAAUGCGUAGAUAUCUGGAGGAAUACCGGUGGCGAAGGCGGCAUCCUGGACCGACAUUGACGCUGAUGAGCGAAAGCUAGGGGAGCAAACGGG